CCUACGGGAGGCAGCAGUGGGGAAUCUUGCGCAAUGGGCGAAAGCCUGACGCAGCAACGCCGCGUGCGGGAUGAAGGCCUUCGGGUUGUAAACCGCUUUCAGCAGGGAAGAAAUUGACGGUACCUGCAGAAGAAGCCCCGGCCAACUACGUGCCAGCAGCCGCGGUAACACGUAGGGGGCGAGCGUUGUCCGGAUUUAUUGGGCGUAAAGAGCUCGUAGGCGGUUCGGUAAGUCGGGUGUGAAACCUCCAGGCUCAACCUGGAGACGCCACCUGAUACUGCUGUGACUAGAGUCCGGUAGGGGAGUGUGGAACUCCUGGUGUAGCGGUGAAAUGCGCAGAUAUCAGGAAGAACACCAGCGGCGAAGGCGGCACUCUGGGCCGGUACUGACGCUGAGGAGCGAAAGCGUGGGUAGCAAACAGGAUUAGAUACCCUGGUAGUCCACGCCGUAAACGUUGGGCACUAGGUGUGGGUCUCAACCAACGAGAUCCGUGCCGCAGCUAACGCAUUAAGUGCCCCGCCUGGGGAGUACGGCCGCAAGGCUAAAACUCAAAUGAAUUGACGG
rnacentral:rRNA from 1 species